rnacentral:misc_RNA from 1 species
GAUGAAGAACGUAGCGAAAUGCGAUAAGUAGUGUGAAUUGCAGAAUUCAGUGAAUCAUCGAAUCUUUGAACGCACAUUGCGCCCCUUGGUAUUCCAUGGGGCAUGCCUGUUCGAGCGUCAUUUGUACCUUCAAGCUCUGCUUGGUGUUGGGUGUUUGUCUCGCCUCUGCGUGUAGACUCGCCUCAAAACAAUUGGCAGCCGGCGUAUUGAUUUCGGAGCGCAGUACAUCUCGCGCUUUGCACUCAUAACGACGACGUCCAAAAGUACAUUUUUACACUCUUGACCUCGGAUCAGGUAGGGAUACCCGCUGAAAUUAAGCAUAUCAAUAAGCGGAGGA